UGGGGAAUAUUGCGCAAUGGGCGAAAGCCUGACGCAGCGACGCCGCGUGAGGGAUGAAGGUUUUCGGAUCGUAAACCUCUGUCAGAAGGGAAGAAACCGCACUGUGCUAAUCAGCAGUGCCUUGACGGUACCUUCAAAGGAAGCACCGGCUAACUCCGUGCCAGCAGCCGCGGUAAUACGGAGGGUGCAAGCGUUAAUCGGAAUUACUGGGCGUAAAGCGCACGUAGGCUGCUUUGUAAGUCAGGGGUGAAAUCCCACGGCUCAACCGUGGAACUGCCUUUGAUACUGCUUAGCUUGAAUCCGGGAGAGGGUGGCGGAAUUCCAGGUGUAGGAGUGAAAUCCGUAGAUAUCUGGAGGAACAUCAGUGGCGAAGGCGGCCACCUGGACCGGUCUUGACGCUGAGGUGCGAAAGCGUGGGGAGCAAACAGG
rnacentral:rRNA from 1 species